CGCCACAGAAUUACGAGUCCUGCGCGCUAUCCACCAGGCUACGAGGCCCCUACAUAAAGGGAUUUGUCAUAUGAUGAAUGCAAGUUGACGUGGACUAUGAAGAUGACUACAAAUAUCAGUGAGUUGAUUGAAUAGUUAUGUUGAUAACUGAUCAGCAGCGGGAGAGACCUGACACCUUACCUUGAUCCAUCCCAUUGAACUUCACCUGAAGCUUAGAAGAGCUACUGAGUAGGAGUGAGUGUAACUUGUCUGCAAGAUGAGCUCAAGGCGUCUUGCACCAUCCCCCACCUUUUCUUUUAUAUUUUGUUACCAUGGUUGUGGGACAGAUGCUCCUAGAUGAACAGAAGAUCCAAAAGGCCAAGACAACUCCAGAGAC